rnacentral:rRNA from 1 species
GAGAGGUGCUGCAUGGCUGUCGUCAGCUCGUGUUGUGAAAUGUUGGGUUAAGUCUCGCAACGAGCGCAACCCCUAUCGUCUGUUGCCAGCAUUAAGUUGGGCACUCUGACGAGACUGCCUGGGUUAACCAGGAGGAAGGUGGGGAUGAUGUUAAGUUUUUAUGGUCCUUAUGUCUAGGGCUACACACGUAAUACAAUGGCGCGUACAAAGGGAAGCGAACUCGCAAGGGGGAGCAAAUCUCAAAAAGCGCGUCUCAGUCCGGAUUGGAGUCUGCAACUCGACUCCAUGAAGUUGGAAUCGCUAGUA